AUGAAAGAGGAUAAUGAAUUUCAAAUGAACCACAGGAAGCAAAGAGUCUGGACUCCUUGGAAAAGUCCAACAAUGUGCUGGAGUACGUCCCUCUCCUGCUGCCUCCCUGCCACCCAUGAAGGCCAAACCUCCCGCUGGCAAGGAGGAGCCGAAGCGGGGACAUCUGUCUCCAGUAUCCUCCUCCCCACUAGGAUGUCUGGGUGCCUGAGGCCUCCCAAUGUGUCACCCCACUGGGAGUCUGUUCUUUGCAGAACUCUGUGCCUCAGAGUUCCUCACGACCUCCCUCUAGUCAAAAUACACCCCAUUCUUUCAGCCUGAUUCUCUUAGCUAACGCACAAAUGGCUGGGCAGCCUUUCCUGGAUAACACGUUUGCAUUUUCAUCAAGCACCGGGGCGUCUUCUAGACAUGCACUGCCUUUAUCUGAAGGCGGUCCACCGAGGACAAUAGCUUCAGCAGCAUCGUCUUCAAGUAGGGAUGUUGCUGGGUGCCGGCAGACCUGUGAGAAUUGCUCAUUGACACUAGGGGACGGCCCCUGACUUGCCCUCUUUUUGGAAGAGCGAGCGAGCGUAUCAGCAGAAGCAGUGGUGACCCUUGUACUCUCCUCCCAUCACUCUUGGUCAUCAGGCCCCAAAUGUGAGUCUCAGAAGACCUUUGUAAUUGAGUCCUGGGAUGUAGGGUCUCACCUCAGUGUGUCCCUAGGCCCGAGGACUUCUGGAAAGUUACUUUGAUUUUGGGACAAGGCUCAGGGUUUGAAUCCUGUGUAAAGGGUGGCAUAAAAGGUUUGGCUUACUCUUUUCCAAAGUGGUUCUAGAAAUGGGUAGUUUUCUAUCAAUCUUUUAGUCCAAAGAAGGCUUCCGCCUAAGUCUGUUCUAGCAGGGAUACCGUUUGACCGUUCCCCGCGGGAUGAAGGAGCUAUUUUCCAGUGGACCUGCAGUUCUUGUUACGCUAUGCCCACCUGAAGCCCCUUCAAUCUACCACCCAGUCACUCAGUGGGUGAAAAAGACUCAAAUCGAUGAAGAAGACUCAAACUAAUGGAGAGGUGUAGCCCAGACCAGACACGGAUCUCCCUUAAAAUAAACAAACAAAUAAUCACGUAUACCUACA
rnacentral:lncRNA from 1 species